GUAAAUACAACAGCCUAGAGCUGAACUGAUGUAAACUAGUGAGCACCCUGGCCCAUUGGAAUCUGUUCCUGAGAUGACUUGAGAUACAAAGGUCAGCUGUCUGUGCUGUCUGCAUAGAAGAACUCCUAAGUUCACCUGUGCUGAAAGCCAGUGCAAGGUCUCUUUGGACCAUAGAUGCUUUCACUGUGAAAGCUGCAGACAUCUUGUAUUUGACCUAAUUUAAGUUUAGAAUCUCACCUUCAGGGGUCUUCUCAUCCCACUAAGAGCAGAAGGACAGAAAGUUGCACAAUGUCCCACUGAGGGCCCUUCAUCACAGCCAGAUAGGUGGCUGUUGCCCCCCUCAUUCACUGUCUGUCCCUCCCUGUCCCCUCACCUCCUUUGCUCAUGAUUCUGGGCACACGCAGGACUUGGUGCAUCCAGACCAUGUUCAGUUAAAUCUGCAGAUUUCUGCAAGCUCCAAUAUGCAUGUACAUUGCACACUGCUGGGGAAAAAGUCUUCCCUUUAAAAUAUGAUGAUGGUAAAGGAGAUCACUGGUGCUGUUCUGGAACAUAUGUUAAUGAAAGCCAU